rnacentral:rRNA from 1 species
UACGUAGGGGGCAAGCGUUGUCCGGAUUUAUUGGGCGUAAAGAGCGUGUAGGCGGCCGUACAGGUCAGCUGUGAAAACUCGAGGCUCAACCUCGAGACGUCGGUUGAAACCGUACGGCUAGAGUCCGGAAGAGGAGAGUGGAAUUCCCCGGUGUAGCGGUGAAAUGCGCAGAUAUCGGGGAAGAACACCCGUGGCGAAGGCGGCUCUCUGGGACGGUACUGACGCUGAGACGCGAAAGCGUGGGGAGCGAACAGG